UACGGGAGGCAGCAGUGAGGAAUAUUGGUCAAUGGGCGGAAGCCUGAACCAGCCAUGCCGCGUGAAGGAAUAAGGCCCUAUGGGUCGUAAACUUCUUUUGUGGUGGAGCAAUAAGGUGUACGCGUACACCGAUGAGAGUACAUCACGAAUAAGCAUCGGCUAACUCCGUGCCAGCAGCCGCGGUAAU
rnacentral:rRNA from 1 species